CAGUAGCCACGGUAAAACGAAGGGUGCAAGCGUUAAUCGGAAUUACUGGGCGUAAAGCGUGCGUAGGCGGUUUGUUAAGUCUGCUGUGAAAUCCCCGGGCUCAACCUGGGAAUGGCAGUGGAUACUGGCAAGCUAGAGUGUGUCAGAGGAUGGUGGAAUUCCCGGUGUAGCGGUGAAAUGCGUAGAGAUCGGGAGGAACAUCAGUGGCGAAGGCGGCCAUCUGGGACAACACUGACGCUGAGGCACGAAAGCGCGGGGAGCAAACAGGAUUAGAUACCCCGGUAGUCCCUGUCUCUUAUAA
rnacentral:rRNA from 1 species